GACGGAGGAUGCAAGUGUUAUCCGGAAUUAUUGGGCGUAAAGCGUCUGCAGGUUGUUUUAUAAGUCUAUUGUUAAAGGUCGAAGCUUAACUUCGAAAAUGCGGUAGAAACUGUUUAACUAGAGUAUGGUCGAAGUAGAAGGAAUUUCCAGUGGAGUGGUGAAAUGCGUAGAUAUUGGAAAGAACACCGAUGGCGAAAGCAUUCUAUUAGGGCAUUACUGACACUCAGAGACGAAAGCUAGGGUAGCAAAUGGGAUUAGAUACCCCAGUAGUCUUAGCUGUAAACGAUGGAUACUAAAUAUUACACGUUCGCCGUGGUGUUAAAGCUAACGCGUUAAGUAUCCCGCCUGGGGAGUACGCUCGCAAGGGUU
rnacentral:rRNA from 1 species